GGGGGAGAGGGAGGGAGAGAGAGAGAGAGAGAGAGAGAGAGGGAGAGAACCAAGUUUGUCAUGUAAGCCUCAAGAAGGAAUCCAGGCACGAAGCAAAAGAUAUGUAUGCAAUCUAUUGGAUUGGACAACUGCAUAAUUUGUUGAGAAGUUUUUUUCUUAAAAAAAAUAUCCUUCAUUAAUGACCACGGCCAAACAGCAAGCCUAUCUGUAUCGCGGUGCAAACAGAAACCUUAUUAUGUUCUCCUUUUUUAAUUUUCUGAGACUGAUAGUUCAACAAUCCUACUACUUUCACGGCCAAGGGCAAUCCAACCCUUGUAAUAGGUUAAUUUGUAUAUAAGCAGACAUGUAAGAGAAAUAUACAUAAAUUGGACCAAUAAUAAGAAAAGUAUGAAUGUUUGAAAUAUAAAAUCCCUAAGUCUAUGCGAAUCUCAAAUUGGCAGUUUUAUAUUUGGAUAAAUUUCCCGUUUGUCGUGUAU